CCUACGGGUGGCAUCAGUGAGGAAUUUUGCGCAAUGGGAGCAAUCCUGACGCAGCAACGCCGCGUGAGUGAUGAAGGCCUUCGGGUCGUAAAGCUCUGACAGGUGGGAAGAACAUCCAUGGGAUGAAUAAUGUCAUGGAGUGACGGUACCACCAGAGGAAGCACCGGCUAACUCCGUGCCAGCAGCCGCGGUAAUACGGAGGGUGCGAGCGUUAUUCGGAAUUACUGGGCGUAAAGCGCGUGCAGGCGGGAAGACAAGUCUGAUGUGAAAGCCCCGGGCUUAACCUGGGAAGUGCAUUGGAAACUGUUUUUCUUGAGUACUGGAGAGGAAGGGGGAAUUCCCGGUGUAGAGGUGAAAUUCGUAGAGAUCGGGAGGAAUAUCAGUGGCGAAGGCGCCCUUCUGGACGGAUACUGACGCUGAGACGCGAAAGCGUGGGGAGCAAACA
rnacentral:rRNA from 1 species